rnacentral:rRNA from 1 species
GUAUCUUCGGAUAUGAGUAGAGCGGCGGACGGGUGAGUAACGCGUAGGAAUCUACCUAGUAGAAGGGGAUAGCCCGGGGAAACCCGGAUUAAUACCGUAUACCUCCUUCGGGAGAAAGAAGGCCUCUCUUUGAAGCUUUCGCUACUAGAUGAGCCUGCGUAAGAUUAGCUUGUUGGUGAGGUAAAGGCUCACCAAGGCGACGAUCUUUAGCUGGUCUGAGAGGACGAUCAGCCACAUUGGGACUGAGACACGGCCCAGACUCCUACGGGAGGCAGCAGUGGGGAAUAUUGGACAAUGGGCGCAAGCCUGAUCCAGCCAUACCGCGUGUGUGAAGAAGGCCUUCGGGUUGUAAAGCACUUUAAGCAGGGAGAAAAAGUUAUAAGUUAAUACCUUAUAACCCUGAUGUUACCUGCAGAAUAAGCACCGGCUAAUUCCGUGCCAGCAGCCGCGGUAAUACGGAAGGUGCAAGCGUUAAUCGGAAUUACUGGGCGUAAAGCGCGCGUAGGUGGUUUGUUAAGUUGGAUGUGAAAGCCCUGGGCUUAACCUAGGAACUGCAUCCAAAACUAACUCACUAGAGUACGAUAGAGGGAGGUAGAAUUCAUAGUGUAGCGGUGGAAUGCGUAGAUAUUAUGAAGAAUACCAGUGGCGAAGGCGGCCUCCUGGAUCUGUACUGACACUGAGGUGCGAAAGCGUGGGUAGCGAACAGGAUUAGAUACCCUGGUAGUCCACGCCGUAAACGAUGACAACUAGCCGUUGGGAGACAAUGUC